GACUUUUCCAUUAAACGAAGAUUAAGGAGAUAAACAAACAGUCUUCGACUAACGCUGAUUUGGCGAUAACAUCGGCUCUCCGAUUCAGAUCGUGAUUGAUAAAACAAAAGGAAACAUUCGAAAAAGGAGGAUAGAGAAAGGAUGUCGUGAAGAAUCCCAUGGAGCUCAAUCGGGUGAAGGGCCAUUGCUUCUGCCAUGAGCGGCGAACUGAUGAACUGGACCGAUCCACCUUCCAUAAAUUCAAUUUUCCACAGAGGAUCGAACAUUAUCCAGCCAAGACCAGCUUUGUGCGAAUCCUCUUUCCACGCUGCAUCCGAGAAAACCCUAAUUGUAUCUAACUGAAUAACCGGUGUCAGGACUGGAACUCGGAGGGCCUGCGGUGGUGUUGCUAAACUCUGUGCGAUUGACCAUAGAAGCCAAGGGAAUAGAGGUCCAUUGACUAAGCCCGUCGGUAGUAAAACCACAAAAGUUCUGGAUGCUUCAAUGAUUGCUCUUAGAGAGGUGUUGUGGACAAACACAGGAAGCUGUUUAAACGAAGCCUUAGCCCAGACUUGUUUGACGAAGCUGCAAAAAAAGAAGAGAUGAUUCAUAGAUUCCUCAAGACCACAAUGGGGACAAGUCGCUGUGGAUUGAAGAGUUAACUUCCUGUUCUUCUCAUUUGCAAUGUGGUAUCCCGACUUUGCAGAAUAAUCACCAGUCUUAGAAGGUGAAGCUUCUUGGACAGAGGAGUUGUGAGAAUAGCAUCUCAUGAGUUUGAUGGGUGGGAGGUCCCAUUGGUUGCAGGGGUAUAGAGGAGGAGAGCCAAAGAUCAUCCCAAAUUCUCGUGUUCUGUCCAUUUCCAAUUGCUCUACCAAGCUGAGUUUUCAAUAAGUCUCCAAUUGCUUUACCAAGCUGAGUUUUCAAGAAAACCAUCUGAAUUGCAAUACUUCCCCAUGAGAACUUUAGCGAGUAAACAAGAUGGUUUGAGUUAAUUUUGACCAUGAAAUCCAAGCCAUUUUAUGUUUCUCGUCGGAGCCAUCCCACCAAAACCUUGUCAAAGCCGACUGAAUACCUUUAUAGAGCGAUCCUGGAAGCUUGAAGCUAGACAUAGUAUAAGUCGGCAUCGAUGCUAGGACGGACUGUAACAAUGUAGCCUUGCCUGCGCUUGAUAGGAAUUUUGAAGACCAGCUGAGAGCUCGCUGUCUUGUUCGGUCUAUGAUAAGAUUGAACAAAUCUUUUUUCUUCCUUCCAAAGAGUUCAGGAUAGACAUAAGUUCUAGGCAACUCUUUCUGUCAGAUCGGCAAAAGCACAUGGUGUCAUCUGCAAAGAGCAGAUGGUUCACUCUUGGACUGCCUAAUGCAACUCUAAUUCCAGGACUGGUUGAAGUCUCUUGGAAAGCAGCUUAGAGAUAAUCUUGUAAAACGCGGUGCAGAGGGCAAUAGAGGAGGGCAUAGCUAUUAGGAUCUCAUUUGUUUCAUUUGAGAUGCGUGGAAGAAUGGCUUCAUUAACAGUAGAGAGUCUGUCUCCUUCCUGAGAGCAGCAUGGAAAUAUUCAGUAUUCUUGUCUCCUAAAGCCAGCCAAAGUUGGCGAUUUCGUUGCUUCCAAAAUGCUUCUUCGGCCUUAUAGGCUAAAAGAAGAGUAUUAUUUAGAGAGGAGAUUAACUCAGCACUGUUUGUGGGACUAGACAUGGCCUUGUCAAGCUUUUGUUUGUAGUCCUCUAUCAGUUUUUGGCUGUUCUGAUGUGCUUCUCUUGACCAUCGGAUUAUACUAGCACGACAUCUAUUAAUCUUCUCCUCAACUGAUUCUUGAUCAUCGAAGCUCCAAGCCUCUGAGAUAAGUAACCUAACUUCCUCGUUAUCCCUUAGGCGACGAUCAUAUCUAAAUAAUCCCUUCUUUUUCUUUUUCUUCAGAUCAAAGUGAGUGAUAAGCGGUCGAUGAUCAGAUCCUUCAAAUCUCAGAAAGUUUCCAGAAUGUCUUAAGUCAAACAAGUCACAUGUUGACAUGAAUGAUCUAAGAUCCACAAAAGAUCCAACAGGUCUUUUGAUUCCUCCUUCUUUUUCUGAUGGUUCAAUGAUAUCAUUAAAAUCUCCUGUUAUAAACCAUGGUUCAGAACGGUUGGUUCCCAAAUCAGUGAGUUGAUUCCAAAUAAGCUUUCUUUUUGAUCUAUCAGGUUCACCAUAUAGGAAAGUGCAGGGCAAGUCCUCCACCUCCAGGGCUGUGAGGAGUAACUAGGUGAAUUGCUACUUAACCCAAUCCAAUGAGAGCAGUGAGGACGACAGCAUCUGGAUUUUUCGUCUCCAUGAGGAAUAGGAUUUCUGGAUUCUGUCUUCUUCUAGAGGGGGAGCCAUUACUGUGAGAAGGUACAGAAUCUGCCUGUGCAGUUGUUAGUCUGGUUAGAGCGGACUUCCUCUUGGGAGUAGGCGGUCUGCCUCUUUUUUCUUCACCAUAGGAGCUUGGAGUGCUUGGUUAUCCUCUAAGAUUGGGGCCUGAAUCGCUUCCACCAAUGAUGGUUGGUGAGCUUGAGCUGCUGCAGAGAUAAUAUUAGCUGCUGUGCUCUCCCAUAACUUCCGCAGUUGUAGGGAUAGGCGGUGGUUUGAGAAUGUUGUCAUUAGUCAUUUCGCGUUCGAGAGGUUUGGAGAGGAUGGUUUGUCAUGAUAUCGUUCUUGCGGUUUCGAGUGAGUUCUAGCAUCUCUAGUUGAAUCUCCUCUAUAGUAGUCUUGGGACUUGGAAGGUGAUCUCCUGUAACUUGGGGUUCUGUAGUCAAGGGAUCUCCUGUCUGAAUGUCUUUGCUGAGAGAGACCAGAAAAUCUGUGAGCUCUACGAUCUGAUGAACUGCCAUCAUUUCUUCGAGUAUGUCCUGAAGGUACUUGAGAGAUGUGUCUGUUAUUUGAGAGAUUCCCACUUUGGGACUUGUUUCUUGAGGAGAGCUGUUCUCUUUAUGGCGGUAGAGGAGGUAGUGAACUCUGGUUUUGAGAUUUUCUACUUGACUGCAAACCAGGACAGUUGGAUUUCUCAUGUGAUAGCCUGUUGCAGUGGGAGCAGUGCUUUUUUAAUCUUUUGUAUUCCAGCGUCACCAGAGCUUCACUGCCAUCCGGGAAGUCAAUCAUUGCAUCUUUUACAGGAGGUUGCAGACCAUUCACUAGGACUUUAACUCUUGCUACCGCUGGAGUAAGUUCAUGAUCAACUAGUUCACCCGCUAGACCACCAAUGUCAAUUAGCAUUUUGGGUUUCAAGUAGUGAAGAGGGAUUCCUUGAACAUCAAUCCAGAAGGGAAUCUCGGAGGAGAAAUUAUCUGAUAUAACAGGUUCCUAUCUCUGUAGAAUUACCAUCCAAUCAUCAAAAUGAUAAGAUUCCAUCUGCUAGAGAGAAAAGGUAUAAGGGACCACAGGCGUUGUUGCACUGCAGGAUUUGUGAGACGUCCUAUGAGGGUAAGAGAGUUUUUUUGGACCAAAUCUGAGGUAUCCAGCUGCGGAGCCUUGAGUCUUUUCCGGGAAGGCUGAGAGUAGUAGUCAUCAGCUAUCGCUUUUCCUUUAGCAUAAUAAGGAUGAGACAAGAAGGUAGAGAUCUUUUUGUGAGGAGGCAGCUUUUGUAGAAGUUUCAGAGAUGGUUCAAAGAUAGUUCUUCACACUAGGGUAAUUGCAUUCAUUGCAAACAAACAUCACACAAAGUAACACAAAGUACAAGGAGUACAAGAUAUAGAAGUUUAGAUAUCGUUUGGGCAGUUGUUUGGACUGCAUUCAAUGAGAAAUAAACAACCUCUUUUAAGGGAGAGGAAACUCUUUAAGCAGCCGUUAAAGAAGAGAGACCUUCCUCACGGGAAGAGGGGCGUCUCCUACGCCGGCUCCUCCGUGGGAAUUCGCCGGAAAGAUGGUUUUUUGGGUUGUUUUUGAUAGAACUUCUAUUUUGGGUAAACAAAAGUGGGUGAGAAUUUCUGUUUUUAGUAAAAAGGUUUGGUUUAAAUCUGGUUUUUCAAAAAGUAGUAACUAGAAAUAGAAUCUCGAAACUCAUGCGAGGGAAAGUUUUUUUAGCUUUCUUUCUCCUCUUCCUAUAUUUUCUAUUCCCUCAUAUCGGGGAACAAUUUCUAUGAAUUGUUAUUGACAUUAAAUUAUAGUAAAUUAGAGAGAAAGUAUUUGUUCGUUUUUGUCGAUUAUAUCCAUGAGAACUCUUGUUUCAGGUGAUUGUGUUUGUCGAUUUUUUUUGUUGUGUUUCGUGGCAUGUGAAGUUUUUGUUUGAAGUGUGGAGUUUUUGUCGAUUUGUUUUGUUGUGUUUCGUGGCAUGUGAAGUUUUAUAGUUUGAGUGUAGAGUUUUAGUUUUGUUUGAUUAUUUUUUGUUGUGUAUUUGUGAUUGUGAAGUUUUUUUAUCUGUCGUGUUUGUGUAUUUGGUGCGAGUAUUUUUGUCUUGAGAAGAGAGACAUGGAGAUUUUACCUGCCUCUUCAUUUGUUCUGGACUACGGGAUUUGCCUUGACGACUUUGGUAACCAAAAGACCUGUACACAUGCAUGAAGCAAGAGAAAUAUCAAAUAAGAGACUAAAAAACAGAGAAAAUUAUUUGACCCUUUAUGUAAAAGAAACAUGAGGAACAAC
rnacentral:misc_RNA from 1 species